UUGAAUUCAGAUUUUAAUAAAAGGAAUAUGAUUACAAUUAACUUUAAUUUUCAAGCCAAAAAAUAUUAAGAACAAGGCACAAAAUCUCUGUAAUAUUAGUAAGUGUAUUGCUAAAAGGUUCUACCUUUUUUUUAGCCGAGAGAGAUGAGUAUAUAUAAUAUUGGGACCAACAGCUAUAAAAUAUUGAAACAAGAAUACCCAAAAUCUUGGAUGGAAUAAAAUAAAAUAUCAGCAACAAUAUUUGAUCCACCAGGUAUGAGAGGAUAUUUCUCCAAAAUAGUUUUUUCAAAGAUUUUGAUAUUCAAAACUAAAACAAUUUGAAAAAGCAUAAUUAAAGGAAAAGAUAUCCCAAACAGAUUUGAUAAAAUUAUGUCAAUAGAGUCUCAAUCAGUUUGUUGACAUAUUCAAAACUGAAUCUAGUAGUACAAUCCAAAUGGAGUAAUCACAAAAACCAAACAAUAAUCAUCAUAGGUACUUUAAUUUAAGUUUUCUGAUAUCAACAUUUUGGAGCUAUUCCCUUAAUUUUCAUGUCUUCUUUAGGUACUUUGUUUAUGUUAUUAUGGAAUAUAUUUAUAAUAUUGUUAACUACUAGAACAUUUAUUAUUAAUAAUAUUUAUAAUAUUGUUUAUUAUUAUUUAUUUUUAAUAUUAAUUAUUAUUAAUAUUUUUGGUGUAGCAAGAUUUUGUUUAAAAAAAAAAAUUAAAGAGGAAACCCGCGGGCCGGGCCGACCCGGCUCAAGCCGGGCCACGGGCCAAACAAUUAUAAUCCACCAAAAUCCGAACUUUUUUGACCCGACCCGUCGUAGGCUCAGUCCGCUCUCGGCCCGGCCCGACCCAUUUGCCAGGUCUAGUUAACCCACUCAUAACUUCCUUGAGUUUAUUUACCAAUGUAAUUUAUUUAACUAACCCACUCAAACAUACGAGACAUUUAUUAGACUAGACACUCCAAGCCCUCCCCCCACAAGGCCCCAACGACAGAAAGGGGGAAAGCUAAUAAAAGCAUAACUUAUUAGCUUUCAGUUCAGCUCUGUAAAUUAGGCUAGCAGUGCACUAGCAUAUCAACUUAUAUGUAGAACAAAUUAGUAUUCAUAAUAGCAUCACAUCUUGAAGUGAGACGAGCAAACCACACAAGUACUUUAUUAUUUAAAUAUGAAAAGCCAAAGCUUACAAUACUGCUUCAAACAAAACACGUAUAAACAAGAAAAAACAGACUUCAAAACCUUAAAAAACAAGACUCAACAACCACAAAACAUAAACUAGUUCUAAUCAAAAGCAACCACUACCAACAGUACCAUGCCAAAAAUAUUUAACAAGCAAACUAGAAAAUGGAAACCUAUUCCAUUAGAUUCACGCACAAACUUCCUUUUCUGCUCAAGGAAGGAGAUUUGAGCUAUGUUUUGAUGGUGAACAGUAACUUCCUUGACUACUGCAUAGAGCAUAGGAAAUCGAACUGCCCUGAGGACUUCUCAGAUAAAAAACAUUAUGUUUUGGAGCUCCGAGUGAAGUUUGUAGAACUUGUCGUCAAAUGAAGCCGCAUAUGAUGAAGCUGAAGGAGUAGACUGCAUCUCCAUUCGUGCCUAUCAGUAUAGUAAACUGGUGGGACAAGGGAGACAGGCUUAGUACAUUGAGCAAAGGUGAAGCACAACUGGUAUAUAAACUUCUGCAACUUAUCAGAUGUGUGUUUGAUAAAACCCUGUAAUAAGAACCUAUUUAAAUAGAGAUAUGUAUAAAAUAAAGAUUCUUUUUUAAAUAAAGUUUAAAUGUAAAAGAUAUGUUUGAUAACCAAUCUGAAUACAACAUUUUACUAAUUUACCCUUAUAUCUGUUUAUACAAACUUAUGCUGAGGAUAAAAAUAUUGGAAAUAUUAAACAAUUAUUUCAAAUAAAUCACCAAUUAGAAUGUAUAACUACUAAAAUAUUUCAAGUUUAAUAAAAUAUAAUAAUAAUUAUGACAAUUUUACAUAAUUAGUAUAAAAUAUGGUGGUGCUGGUGGUGGGUGGGUGGUGACGGGCAGAUUUAAAAAAAAUUCCAGUAGAGACGAAUUUUAACUAAAUUUUUUGUUGAAGUUAAAUAAAAAAAACUUAAACUAAUCAUAAUAAUGUUUACAAAUUAUAAUAAAUAUUCAUAAUCUAAACUAAAAAAGAAAUUUUAAAUAAAAAAUAUUUAGAUACAAUUUAGAAGGCAGAACUAGAAUGAAUAUACGUUGUCUGUACUUGUAUUUAAAAUAUGAAUGAAUUUUUUUUUUGCUCCCUCCAAGUUUAACUCUAAGUGGUGGUGGUGGUGGUGGUGGUGGUGGGGGGAAGAUGUGGGGUCGAGGUAGGUGGUGGUGAUAGAGUGAAGAAUUAAAAAAUAAAAUUAAGGUAGUAAGGGUAAAAAUAUAAAGAGGUUGGGUAAAAUUUUAUCAAAAAAAAUAGGCUCUAGGCGAAAAGAGGCUAGGCCAAAAAGAAGUAAAAAAAAGCUUAUCAAACACAACAAUCUCUACGUGAACAAGAGGCAAGGCCAAAAAAAGCUUAUCAAACACUACAUUAAUAUAUUCUUCAAUUAACAAACAUCAAGACAAACCCAAAAUUUUCUUCCAACACCAUUCUCAGCUUAUCUUAUUACAUCUUACGAGUUAAAUAAUUAUAAGAAAAAAAGUGCUAAAAUGGGAUGAGAUAAAUAAAAUAAAUAAAUAAAUAAAAGGGAAAAACAUGAAUAGACGAAAGUUAUAAUCUUCUACAUUUAGUAAACUUUAUGACCUCUGAAAUCUGUUUAUACUUUUGAAUUAAACUAUAAAAUCAUAAUCUAUAUGUAUAUACAUAUAUAGAUAAUAUUCUCAUCAUAAAACAAAAAAAAUAGAGAUCUAUAAAAAUCGUAUAAAUUAUGAAUAGAAAAAGAAAAUGAUAUGCAUUGUCUGUCCCAUAAUAGGUUCCAUUCUUCUACUCGUCCUUUUUUGAACAAUGGAAUCUAUAAAGGGGGUUAAGUACUAAAAAAUUGACUAUUUUUUUGUUUCUGAGUUUUAUGUCUUUUCUUUAUUUUAGCGAAAAGAUCAAAUACCGAAUCCAUUGAAUUUUCUGGUAUUCAAGGGGAUUGGAAUAUGUAAUAUCGUAAUAAUGGUAGAAAUUGAAUCCCUUUUGAUAUUCUAUACAAAAUUCCGCUCCAAAUUUUUGAUGAUUAAUUAAUCUUUAAUAAGGAAAAAUAAAUUUUUUAAUAUGAGACUAGAAUUUAACUGCUACUAAAAUACUUCUUAAAAUCUCCCAAAUUUUAUUUUAACUAAUUAAGCCUAGAAUUUAACAACAUUUAAAAUACUUUAUAAUGUGCAAGGAAAGGAAAAUAGGAGAAAAGAAAGGAAGAAAAAGAUAUACAUGUUUAUCAUAAUCAUCUCCUACUUAUACUCCUUAUAUAAUUUUCAAUUUCCUUUUAACUUCAUAACUUACCUUCUUCUUUUUUUAAUGCUGAAAAAUACCUUUUAUAUAUAUUCUAAAAAAAAUAUUCAUCAGAUGUUCCACGUUAAACUUUAAAUUUAUACUCCCUCAUCUAUCAAACAAAAACUCCAAAAUGUGCAAUUUUAUUUGUCAGUUUGCUAAUAUUAAAAAAAAUAAAGAGUUUCAAUUUUUUUAAAAUAAUAUAAAAUAACAUAAUUGUCACAAAUUUAUAAUCACAAUAAUGUUAACUAAUUUUUAACAUAUAUAAUAUUAAAAUUUAUAAAUUAUAUGCAGUUAGUAAGUUAAGUUAUGAAAUUAUUAACUAUUAACUAUUAAAAAUAAUUACUACUUAGUGUCGUAGAACCAUAAUUCUUUUUAUGAUCCAACAAAUCUAAUGUUAACUUAUUAUUAUACAACAAUUAUUCUAAAAAAAGAGACCUUUAAUUAUUUAGUCAUACAAUAAAUUUUAAUUUAAAAAAUAUAUUUAAAAUUUUACUUUACUCAACUUAGGAUUCUAAAUAACUAAUAAAUAUUGUAAAUUAUCUAAUAAAUGUUACUCAUUUUAAGUUUUAUUAUUUCAUAAUUUUUAAUGAGUCAAUUGAUUUUCAAAAGUCAACAACGAUCAAAUAAUUUGAAAUUACUAAAUAUAAUAUAUUAUAUUAUAAAAUAUAUUAACGAUUAAAAUAUUCAAAAAAUUAUUAUUUGUUAUAAAACAUAUUAAUGACUAAAUUUUAAUUAUCAAUUUUAUUUAAUGUAGGAGACAUUUAGUUGGGUAAUGUUUAAAAUAAUUUUGAAAUAUAUUAGUGACUAAAAUUUAGUUAAUUUUUUAAACUAAAAGUCAUAAUAUUAACUUAUUAUUCAGCAAAAAGGUUAUUCCUAAAUAACUACAUAUUAAAAAUAUUAAAAAACUAUUAUGACAAAAUAAAAGUUAAUAUUAAAAACAAAAUAUAUAUUAAAAAUUAUUAAUAAUUAAAUUUUAGUCACCAAUUUUAUUUCAAAUAAAAAAUCUUUAGUUAAUGAUUGUUAGCAAAAUUCCUCACUUAUACGUAGUAUUAGUUAUUAAAAUUUUGUUACGCCAAAAAUAACUUAUUAUUCUAUAAUAAUUUUAUUACAUAUAAUCAAAUUGAGUUUCUUAAACAAUAAGUUUAGGCUAUUACGUUCUAAUAUAAUAUAUAUAAACAGGGUGCAAAUAUUUUAAUUUAGAUAUGCAUUUAAAACAUACAUGUAGAAAUAACAUCCAUAUGAUCCAAGGACACAAGGGAGCAACAGUUUUAAAGAUCUAUACCGGGAACAUGAACAUGAACAGGUACAGGAUCCUUGUCCGAGUCUGACCAGCGCCGCCUCCUUCGGCAGAAGCCCAAGAGCCCCUCCCACCCACAUGACGAGGACUACCACUCCAGGACCUUCUUCCGCCGGUGGCCCCCGCACCUUGACCCAUAGCAGACUGUGGCCUCUGGAACCCACCUUGACCACCCUGAACCGACCGAUUUCCCCACGGCUGAGCCGGUGGUGGGUUAGUCCCCAUCUGGGUCCCACCUUGACCACCGUGAACCGGCCGAUCUCCCCACGUCUGCGCCGGUGGUUAGUCCGCAUCCGAGUCUCACUCCUAUCACCACCUCUUCCUCCUCUUCUUCCAUAUCCAUAACUUUGAUACUGACCCUGAUUAUGCGGCUGGCAAUUAUUACCAUCUCCACCACAAGAAUUUCUAGCACCACCACCAGUUUGAUACUGAUCCUGAUGAUAUUGCUUAUUAUCACAUCUAACACCACCAGAUCCGCAGCCACGACCCCGGCCAGCGCCACCGCCACCGCUACGAUUGUAGUUACUCUUUCCCCAUUUCUCUCACUAAAUUUAUCUCUCUAUACUCAAAAUGUACUGAUUGAGUGGGUUGGUUUGAGUGUUGAUGUUAUGGAUAGUGAAUAUUUAAUAGGAAUUUUGAAGGUAAUUAAUGGACGAAAACAACCUUACUUUGUCACCAAGAAUUGAACAGUGAAACGGAGAAGAUUCUAUUGAAUUCUGGAAGGAUCGAUAGAAAAGAACCUUUCUU
rnacentral:lncRNA from 1 species